AAAAUUUUAUUAAGUUGAAGGUGAAGUAUUAUCAUAUUGCAAUUGUGUAGGCUUAUGGUGAAUAGUUGAGUGUUGGGUGGUAGAAAAACAAUAUGUUCACAAAAAUGUCCAUGAUAGAAAUGGUGAUAAUAAACUAGACUUGUGGAAAUAUGAGAAAUGAUUGGACACAAUUGAAUGCUUUUUUAGAAAGGUGAAAGUUGCACUAGUUGAAAAUAAGUUGAGGAGGGG
rnacentral:misc_RNA from 1 species